AACCAAUUUCAUUGUUGCCAUUAAAAGCACGAGCUACUUGAACAGGAGCUUCAGACCUAAGCUUGUUGUUAGUUGCCUGAUCGAAUUGAACAAUGUUGUUCAUCUUCUUCUACUUUAGCUUUCCUUUGCUCCACUUAUGUCGAAGAAAUGAAAAGAGCAAAGUAAGCAAAAGGAAAUAUGAUUCAAGAGAAUAUGAGAUUUGAUAGGAGAUUACUUUCUUCUGCGUUCCACCUCCGGAUCUGGCGGGGUUUAGAGAUUGGUAGUGGACCAUUUUUCUUUUUUUGGUGCCU
rnacentral:lncRNA from 1 species